GGGAAAUAAAUGGAACAUAAGGAUAUAAAGAAAACGUUUUUUUGUUCCUCUUUUUUGUUAACAUCAUUAUCGUGCAUACUAGUCAUUGUACAUGAGGUCUUAUAGAAGAUUGAUGAAGGAAAAUAAAAC